UACGUAGGGAGCGAGCGUUGUCCGGAUUUAUUGGGCGCAAAGGGCGUGUAGGCGGCCUGUUAAGUCUGAAGUGAAAAAUCCAGGGCUCAACCCUGGAACUGCUUCGGAUACUGGCGGGCUUGAGUGCUCUAGAGGGCAGUGGAAUUCCCGGUGUAGCAGUGAAAUGCGUAGAGAUCGGGGAGGAACACCAGGUGGCGAAGGCGACUGCCUGGGGAGUAACU
rnacentral:rRNA from 1 species